CACAGGGCAAGGAGGGGCCCCAGUCCCUGGCCUUCUUGGGAAACUGUGAGAGUCAAUGCUUUGGGGUUGGCCCUUUCUUUCCAUCCACCCCCAGCCAGCCCUCCACCCAGCGUCACCUCAUUCAGCAUCCUUUCCAGAGCAUCCAGGGCGCCCUUCCCUGCACCCCAUGUCCUUUUGGAUCUCGGCUCACUCCUCCUCGCACGCACUCAGUGGCACUUUCUUUUUUGGGUGACUAAAACCACAGUGGUAUCUGCUAGGAACAGGGAUAUCAGAAGAAGGGGAUGCUUCAAUGGAAGGAAAAAAAUGCUUUGCUUGGACAGCUUGGAUGAGAAGUGCCAACAAGUCAUCCCCGUGGCAGUGACUGGCAGUUUGCUGGAAGUGGCGGAGGAGCUAAAGAGAGAGGCGAUGGGUUAAAAUAUGGCUUUGGGGAGUUAGCUACAAAGAGAGUCCAACCAUUGGGAUGUGUGCAAUAACUUGUGAAGAACUGCAGAAGUAGAGGAGUGGGGGGCUGAACCUUAGAGAUGGGACACCAAGGGGAAAGGCAAAUCAAGAGGAGCCAGAGGAAGAUGAAAGAGGAACAAUUGCUCAUGAGGGGAAAGCAAGACCGUUGGGCAUCGUGGAAGCCAUGAUGAUAUGGAGAAGUCCAAGUGAAGGAGACAUGGGGAAGGACCGCCUGGAAUCUGCUGGUUACAUCUGACCGCCUCUGCAUGGGGUUCCGGGAUGGGCAGAGAACAUGGCAGUGCAAGGAAGAGGUAUCUCAAAGGACUGUGGGAACACCUGAGAGGCUUGUGGAAAUAAGAGGAGAGAUGAGCCUCUAAGCUCCCCAGGGCCUGUCAGUCUUCCUGUUGCAUAAACUAAGUUCAGAAAAGAGAACUAGAGGAAGAGGUUGGUUAGUUGCCAGAUGCCAGGAAAUUAAGAAGUAGAUGUUAGUAGCAUGGAGAAGAGGAGAGGGCCUAUAUAAACCAAUCCCUAAGAAAACUAAGAAUACUAUAAAAUAGAAUUAUCUGAUUACAAACAUGAGUUGUUGAAAAUAUUUUAAUACGAAACAUUUAUUCUUGAGGUAAACAUCUUAGAUGAUAUAAGCGUAUUUGAAAAGUCAGGCAAAAGUUGUGAAGUGGAAGUCUCACAGGAAUCUAACUGCACGACCCUCGCCAUGUGACUUUCUGUGAGUUGCUGACUCAUCUUUGUCUCAGAUUCUAUCGGCAUAAUUCACAUAGUAACGCUUCCCAAGGUGGUUGUGUGACUGCAAGGACUACAUGAGGCAUUUAGAAAUCUGAAUGCAUGAGAGAUAUUAUCCUGGUACCCUGCACACAGUAGUAAGUAGGUGCUCAGUAAAUAUUAACUAUCACGACGACAUGGAUUUUCUCAGAUCCUCAGUGGGAGUCGUUGGGUAGUCUGGGCUCUGGAAUUUAUCUGGGAAGAUGUUCAAAAAUUUUCUUCAAAUAGAUAAGGAAAGCUGAUGUAGAAGUCAAAGAUUGUGUGUAACUAAGCAAAAGAGCUAUGAGAAGAGAAAAGAAAGAGGGGACUGGGAUGCAACAGAAGUGUGUGUGUGUGUGUGUGUGUGUGUAUUUAGGGGGAGAAGACAAUAACAAAGCUAGGGAAAAGGCAGCACUUUGUGCCGGGGUGGGGCGAGGGGAAGUGUGUGGGUUUCAUGGCACAGUUUCGUGGUUGACAUUAGCAUAGGAAACUCUCCAAGUCGUGGCUUCACACUUUGCUGUUAUGAAUAUCAGAGCCUUUACCAACCCCCUCAGUCAAAGCCACAGAGUAGUCCAGAACCACAGGUUCUUUCACUACAGCUUUGUAGCCAGUUUGCCCAAAUUAGUGACUAUCUUGCCCAGCCCCACCCCCACUCCUCAGAAAACAACCUGAUGGAAUACUGAGAAUAUCAGAUCAAGAGAAUCGAUGCACCAUUCAAAUGUGUGGCCUGUGUUCUCUGAGCCUCUAGUGAUCUUAUCUGAAAUGAUGACCUAGUACUUACCUUUUCGAAUGUCUUAGAGAUUGAAUAAGUAAUACGUAAAUGUUUGGUAACCUGAAAAGUGCUGAAUGCAUGUUAUCUUUUUGUCCUAGUUUCCCUUAAUAAUUUAUUCUGGGUUCGUUUCAUGUGAAUUUAUCUAAACGCCUUUGAAACCUGUUUACAACUGUAAUCUGUAUCACAUUUUGGAUAAUGAACUCCAUAAAUUGA